rnacentral:rRNA from 1 species
UACAGAGGUCUCAAGCGUUGUUCGGAUUCAUUGGGCGUAAAGGGUGCGUAGGCGGCGCGGUAAGUCGGGUGUGAAAUCUCGGAGCUUAACUCCGAAACUGCAUUCGAUACUGCCGUGCUUGAGGACUGGAGAGGAGACUGGAAUUUACGGUGUAGCGGUGAAAUGCGUAGAUAUCGUAAGGAAGACCAGUGGCGAAGGCAGCUUGCUGGGCCAUUACUGACGCUCAGGCACGAAAGCGUGGGGAGCGAACAGG